rnacentral:rRNA from 1 species
AUUGAACGCUGGCGGCAGGCCUAACACAUGCAAGUCGAGCGGAUGCAGGGAGCUUGCUCCUGGAUUCAGCGGCGGACGGGUGAGUAAUGCCUAGGAAUCUGCCUGGCUGUGGGGGAUAACGUCCGGACACGGGCGCUAAUACCGCAUACGUCCUUACGGCGUAAGUGGGGGAUCUUCGGACCUCACGCUAUCAGAUGAGCCUAGGUCGGAUUAGCUAGUUGGUGGGGUAACGGCCUACCAAGGCGACGAUCCGUAACUGGUCUGAGAGGAUGAUCAGUCACACUGGAACUGAGACACGGUCCAGACUCCUACGGGAGGCAGCAGUGGGGAAUAUUGGACAAUGGGCGAAAGCCUGAUCCAGCCAUGCCGCGUGUGUGAAGAAGGUCUUCGGAUUGUAAAGCACUUUAAGUUGGGAGGAAGAGCAGUAAGUUAAUACCUUGCUGUUUUGACGUUACCAACAGAAUAAGCACCGGCUAACUUCGUG